CCCUUCGGGGUACUCGAGUGGCGAACGGGUGAGUAACACGUGGGUAAUCUGCCCUGCACAUCGGGAUAAGCCUGGGAAACUGGGUCUAAUACCGGAUAGGACCACGGGAUGCAUGUCCUGUGGUGGAAAGCUUUUGCGGUGUGGGAUGGGCCCGCGGCCUAUCAGCUUGUUGGUGGGGUGACGGCCUACCAAGGCGACGACGGGUAGCCGGCCUGAGAGGGUGUCCGGCCACACUGGGACUGAGAUACGGCCCAGACUCCUACGGGAGGCAGCAGUGGGGAAUAUUGCACAAUGGGCGCAAGCCUGAUGCAGCGACGCCGCGUGGGGGAUGACGGCCUUCGGGUUGUAAACCUCUUUCACCAUCGACGAAGGUUCGGGUUUUCUCGGAUUGACGGUAGGUGGAGAAGAAGCACCGGCCAACUACGUGCCAGCAGCCGCGGUAAUACGUAGGGUGCGAGCGUUGUCCGGAAUUACUGGGCGUAAAGAGCUCGUAGGUGGUUUGUCGCGUUGUUCGUGAAAUCUCACGGCUUAACUGUGAGCGUGCGAGCGAUACGGGCAGACUUGAGUACUGCAGGGGAGACUGGAAUUCCUGGUGUAGCGGUGGAAUGCGCAGAUAUCAGGAGGAACACCGGUGGCGAAGGCGGGUCUCUGGGCAGUAACUGACGCUGAGGAGCGAAAGCGUGGGGAGCGAACAGGAUUAGAUACCCUGGUAGUCCACGCCGUAAACGGUGGGUACUAGGUGUGGGUUUCCUUCCUUGGGAUCCGUGCCGUAGCUAACGCAUUAAGUACCCCGCCUGGGGAGUACGGCCGCAAGGCUAAAACUCAAAGGAAUUGACGGGGGCCCGCACAAGCGGCGGAGCAUGUGGAUUAAUUCGAUGCAACGCGAAGAACCUUACCUGGGUUUGACAUGCACAGGACGCCGGCAGAGAUGUCGGUUCCCUUGUGGCCUGUGUGCAGGUGGUGCAUGGCUGUCGUCAGCUCGUGUCGUGAGAUGUUGGGUUAAGUCCCGCAACGAGCGCAACCCUUGUCUCAUGUUGCCAGCGGGUAAUGCCGGGGACUCGUGAGAGACUGCCGGGGUCAACUCGGAGGAAGGUGGGGAUGACGUCAAGUCAUCAUGCCCCUUAUGUCCAGGGCUUCACACAUGCUACAAUGGCCGGUACAAAGGGCUGCGAUGCCGCGAGGUUAAGCGAAUCCUUUUAAAGCCGGUCUCAGUUCGGAUCGGGGUCUGCAACUCGACCCCGUGAAGUCGGAGUCGCUAGUAAUCGCAGAUCAGCAACGCUGCGGUGAAUACGUUCCCGGGCCUUGUACACACCGCCCGUCACGUCAUGAAAGUCGGUAACACCCGAAGCCAGUGGCCUAACCCUUUGGGAGGGAGCUGUCGAAGGUGGGAUCGGCGAUUGGGACGAAGUCGUAACAAGGUAGCCG
rnacentral:rRNA from 1 species